GCUAGGACGAACGCUGGCGGCACGCUUAACACAUGCAAGUCGAACGGAGUUAUCGAGAGCUUGCUUUGAUAACUAGUGGCGGACGGGUGAGUAACACGUGAGCAAUCUGCCCUUAAGAGGGGGAUAGCAGUUGGAAACGACUGAUAAUACCGCAUAAGAUAGUAGUACCGCAUGGUACAGCUAUAAAAGAUUUAUCGCUUAAGGAUGAGCUCGCGUCUGAUUAGCUAGUUGGUGAGGUAACGGCUCACCAAGGCAACGAUCAGUAGCCGGACUGAGAGGUUGGACGGCCACAUUGGGACUGAGACACGGCCCAGACUCCUACGGGAGGCAGGCAGUGGGGAAUAUUGCACAAUGGAGGAAACUCUGAUGCCAGCGAUGCCGCGUGAGGGAAGAAGGUUUUAGGAUUGUAAACCUCUGUUGACAGGGACGAUAAUGACGGUACCUGUUGAGGAAGCUCCGGCUAACUACGUGCCAGCAGCUGC
rnacentral:rRNA from 1 species